ACUCCGACACAACUUACACCCGUCACACCGAUAAACAGCCCCGCAUCAGGGGACGGAGGAAGAAGAGGAAGAGAUAAAUGAAAAGGAGAUGUUUUACCCUAGAUGGCUCUCUGAUCUGUCGCCAUGAACGAGUCAAGGUUCAAGAGCUGUUUAGAUUGGGAGGUAGGGGAAGGCCAGCAGGGGGAUAAAGAUUCCACAACGUCUGAACGCAGACCUCUCUAUCAAGAGGAGGAGAAAUGCAGAAGAUGGAUGGCUCGGGAAAAGAAGGAAAGAGAGCUGGGGCGAAGGGGUUGAGGAGUCCAUCAGCAGCUGCCGUGGAUCGAGGGAAGACAAAGGCUAAUGAAGGCACGUGAAGCAGCAGAGACGCAGUAAAUCAGGAGCGAGGCAGCCAGGCCGCUGCCAAGUGUUUUGGGUACACAUCAUUUUAUCACCUGUCUCCGCGCCAACCUGCCAUCACGCAGCGUUUUGGAUGUUGGGCAACUCCCUGUGUGUUUCCCUGUUUGUGUGUUUGCCGCACGCCGGGCAAGAAUCAACAGUCCCGAACAACUGCUGCCAACGAACACACAGUCUGCCUCAGGCUUCUUCUGAAAGAGUCGCCUUCUCUGGUUUUAAUUUCCCGCUUUCACUUCAGUGGUUUAUUUUUAAACUUUUUUUUAAUGAAACAAACUCUGUAAGACUGUGUUUCUAAUCCGUUCGAACUGGAACAGGGUGGUUUUAAGCUUACACAAUCUUUAGCCUACUUCAGGUUGUCAGGUUCUGUUUAAAUGAUUUCUUGAUUCUAGAAAAUGCAGGUAAUCACAGUUAAUUCAUAAUUUAACAAAUAGAGCUUUUACUGUAUCUCAUAGGUUUGGCUUGGAGAACCUAUUACCUCACUAAUAAAUAAAAUAAUCACCUGAA